rnacentral:lncRNA from 1 species
AGUAGUGUAAGAACGGGUAUGUCAGGUUUAGCUAAGGAACGCUUUGGCACCAUUGUAAUAUGGUGGUGUUGGACAUCCAUAGAUAAGUCCUGAUCCAAAACUGACUUGGGUAGAGUGUGGAUGCUGGGAAGAUGAAUUUGAAACGGGUGUGCAUGCAAAGUGGUUAUAUAGUAUGUGGGGAUAUAGGGACAAACACUUGGACACUUAAGAGUGAAAUUCCAAUAUUCAAAUUCAACCCAAUUCAACAAAGCCUUGAGCCCAAUUACUAGAGUUGGCUACAUGUUAACGUAGAAAGGGUUGCCAAACAAGCUUGUUGGAUUAAACUUGAUGUUUGCAUAAAUAGACUUGUAUGCAGUUUAAUGCAUACUGUUUUGACGUAAGAUUUUAAUUGUUCAUGUUUUAGCAAUAGCAUAUAGUUCCCUGGAACAAUAUUGGAAGAAACAAUGGUUCCCACCUCGUGUAGCAUCCAUCUGCGACCCAUUUCCUGAACCAUCGUCUCCACCAUCCCCAACCAGAUCCACCGUCUUAUAUUCAUCUUCUCCCCUAUCCUACAAGCAAAACCAUUAGCUUAUUCUCCCCACUUGGUUAGAACUUUUCUGGGCACUCAAAAACGUCUAUGUAUCACGGCUCCAACUCUUCCUUGUGGAUAGUACUUGAAUCUAGAUCGCACAGCUAAGCGCUUUAACAAUUAAUUGCUUAUCUGGAAACAAUUAAAAUUGGUUGAGAACCAUUGACUUACCCCCUAUCUUGAAUUAUGAUAUUCUGUUGUCCUCGAGGGCCAAGAAUUUAGUCAAUGUGAGAUGUGACAUUGUGGCGAUGGAGUAGAGGAUCAUUGUAAAUUCUUAUCCAAGGCUAGUAUUUAUUUUGAUGAUACCAUGGUGAAUCUCAUUCCCUUGUGUUUUCAAUUACUAAAACAAAUAUUCAUAUUACAAAAAGUGCAAAGACGAAUAAAUUCCUAUGAUUCAAGCAUGAUUUGCAAAUGGAGCAAAUAUCAUAGACUCUGGGAGGAUACCAAAAGCUACUGCCAAGGCUGGUAUACUCUUAAACCAUGGAGUUUCUAUGUGGAGUUGAGACGGAGGGGAGCUUGUAUGGGAUUAAUUUUGGAAAGUGCUUCUAAGCUUUACAAGUACUUUAUGUUUGAUUUUUGAAAAAUUUAAAGGUAAAUGUGAAGGAAAGAAAAAAAUGAGUGAAUGAAAAAUAAAUUUAAAAUUAAUAAAUUAUUUUUAUAUGUUAUUUUAUAUCUAUUUUAUUUAUUUUAAAUAUUUUAAUUUAAUUUAAAAUUAAAUAAUUUGAAUUUGAAAAUGUAUGGAUUUAUAAAUAAUUUUAAUUAUAUCUGAUUUUUUUUUCAUGAAUAAGCCAAAGAUGAAAAAAAAAAUCAUUUUUCUUUUCAUUUUUUUCUUAGUAUUUUCCUAGAAUCAAUUGGAUGUAAUUGUCAAUAAUAAUAAAAUUUUAAAAAUAUGAAAAAUCAUUUAGUAAGUGACCUUAAAAUCAUGUAGUAACCCUUUCAAAAAUUGUCUUAUAGCAUAAAUGUCGGAUUGGGAACUUGGAAUAUUCUGAAUUGGUUUUUUGUAUUUUCAAGUAUUUUUUUUAAAUUAAUCAUUCUUUAUAUUUACAUGAUUAAUUUUUAAAAUAGCCUCAGAAAUAAUUAAAAAUAAUUAAAAUGUGUUUUUUGAAAAUAAAUUCUUUUUAGAAUGAGUUAUAAAAAAAUUAUGAAAUUUGUUAUAACUCAAGAAAGUAUUUUUUAUUUUAAGAAUAAAAAAUCAUUUUUAAAAAUAGUAUCCAAGCUCCUAGCGGCAUGGAGUGACACGAGGAUAACUAAGAUAAAAGGAUAUAAAAGUGGGAAUAAGACAAGUAAAAGAAAUGAAAGAUAAAUUACAAUUAUAGAAUUGAUUCCGGUUAGAAUUUUGGACAAGCAAAAUAAUUGGAACCAUACAAACCUCCACAAUCCCUUCAGCUAACAUCAUCAACCAUUUUCACUCAAAAUGGAAAAGCAAAUUAGAAACUACAAAUAUAACAUGUCAAAAAAUAAUAAUUAAAAAUUCUAACAAAAGUAGAUUUUAAUUUUCAUGAAAAUAAAUUUUUCAUUUUUAUUAUUAUUUCUAACUACACAUUUAAAUGCAAGAAUAAAAAUAAAUUCUUUAUUUCAUAUUUAAAAUAAAGAAUUUUGUAAAAUUAAAUGGUUGAUAUUAGUUAUUAUAUUAAAUAAAAAUAAACAUAUCUAAAAUCAAAUUUUAUGAAAAUAAUGCUAUAAAUAUAUCAAAAUAUAUCAUAUAUAACAAUAUAAAAACUUAUAACAAAUGACGCGCUAAUAAAAAAUUCUAAGUUUGCAUUAAAAGAAAGAAUAUUAAUAGACUUGCAUGAACAAUGAUAUUUAUAUAUUAGGGUCGGAUUUUGAGUUGAGAUGAUGGUAGUGAAAUCACAACUCACAUCCAAUUCAGCCUUAGAUCUAGUAUGAGAUUUCUCUAAGUUUUGCAUUUUCUUCCCAGCUACUUCAAGUUAGAUUGGACUAAAGUCAAAAGAAAAAGUCUCUAAAAUUUUGAAGUUCCUUAACUUAGGGUCUAAAUAUAUAGUUCAUAAGUUGGCAACUUUACUAUGUUUUCUUUGUUUCUACUGUUGUUUCCUUCCUUUUAUAUUUUCUUCAAAUUUUUCGAGAAACAAACAUAGGAUGAGUGUCAUAUUUGGUUUUAAUAUGAAAAAUACUUUAUAUUUUUUUCCCUUGUAUUUUCUUGAAACCAAGCAUAGCAUGGAGAAUUUUUGGGAGCCAUGUCUUAGUGUUGAUUCAUGCUUUGCAUUCAAGUCUUGAAAAGGUUAGAUGUAGAACUCAAAGUUGCUUUGCAAUUAUAAAAUCCAAAUAAGUCAUCAUUCAUCUAUAUUUUUGUUUAGGAGAAGUCGAGGGUAAAUAUAAAUUCUAGUGCAUGUGUGACUCCAUUAAAGGUUGAAUUAAUUUUAAUAUCAAAAUGUAAUUGUGGACCCUGCAUUUUCGCUCGAUGUGUUCCCACUCGAUGGCAAAACUCGUUUUUUUUUUUCAUUUAUUUGGUGAAAAUUUGAUUUUUAGAAAAAGACUUGGAGUCGCCACUUAUUUUUGUUUUAUUUUUUAAAAAGGAAAACAAAAUAAGAAAGAAAAACCCUAAGGGGGUGUUUGGUACACGGGAAUAGGGAGUGGGAAUAGACAUCUCAUUCCUUUUCUCCCUUAUUCCUAUGUUUGGAUAAAUGUUAAGAAGGCGGAAAUAAAAUAAAAAAUUAUUCCAGCAGAAAUCAAAUCCAACUUAUGAGUCGGAUUUGCAUUCAUUAAAAGUAGGUGGUAUUCUGAUUCAUUAAACCUAUUUGAUAAUAUAAAAUAACCUAAAUUACUAUUUUACCCUCUUAUCUUGUUCUUCAAACCCGAUGUUUAUCUUCUUUGCAAAGGUAGAAAUCCAUUCAUCAUCCACUUCUUAUCUUCUUGCAAAGCUAGAGACCCACUCAUCAUCCAAUUCUCUGCAACAAGUGAUUUUUCCAAAUUGAAUCAAUUAAACCUUCCACGAUAUUUAAAAAAAAAAAAUCAAUUUCUAAUUUAUAGGGUUUUGGAUGUUCAUUUUGAUUGUUGGAUCUAGGAUUCGUCAUUGUUUGCUGCAACUAGGUUCUGAAAACUCCCUUCUACAUCUUCGAUCAGGUUUACCUUAUUUUCUCUUUCUUCUUCUACUUCUUUAUAUGUGUUUCUUCUUCUCUAUAAAUCGAUUAAUUUUUUUUUAUUAAUUUAUGUUUGGAAUCUUUGAUGUUUCUUUAUCUUGUAUUAAUGGAAACUGGAGAGAAAAAUUGAAAUGGUUGGAAAAAGAUUUUUUGAUUUCAUGUGUUUACAAUAUUGAAAAUUUUUAAUGGUUAGGAAAAAAAAUAAAAAGAAAAAAACAAACAAAAAUAGACGGAAAAGGAAAAUAGAGUGGUUGGUGAGUUGGAGAAACUUCCUAAUCUUAAUAGAUUGGACAUAUUUAAGUUAAGUCAAAUUAUUAUGAGUGACCCAAUGAAAGUCAAACUUUUGUUCAAUUUAGAUGAAGAUCUCAAGGUUGAAUGGGCGAAACAACUUCUUCAAACCCCAUGAAUCUCCAUGUUACAUCCUUGUUGAUUUAUUGUCUUUAGGUUGGAUUGAUAGAAAUUUUAGGUUGGAUUUUGUUUCAUCAAUUUCCUAUGAACUUUUUUAUUGAUUUGAUGACUUAAUUUUGGAGGAUAUACUAGUUGUAGAUUUUAGUAGAUAUGGUACUUAUAUUGAGAACUAGAAUGAAGUUUGUGUUUUUUUAUUUCCUUUUUUGCAAAUAAGAAAUAAGUAUUUGGUAGCUUUGACAAUUUAUAUGUUCUUAUAUUUUUUUUUUCUUUUUUUUUCUUAGUAAAAUAUAAUUCUAUAGCUUUUUUUGCAUGACAAAUUAUUUAAAAUUUUGAUAAAAAAAAAACGAAUAUUUAAAAUUUUUUAAGGUUAUGGAUUUUAUCGGAUAUGAUACUUGUUGAAAAUUAGAAUAAAUUUGAAUUCUUUUAUUUCCUCUUUUGAAAAUAGGAAAAACAUUUGCUAGCUUUGAGAAUUUUUAUAUUAUAAUAAAUAAUUUUUUUUUGAAAAAUAUAAUUUUAUAACUACUUAAGCAUGACAAAUUAUUCAAAUUUUUAAUAAAAAUAAUAAUUGAAUAUUUGUGCAUUAGGGUUAUACGAUUUUUUAUGGUUAAUUUUUUAUUUAUUCAGUAUAUAUGUAUUUUUUAGUCUUAUUAUUUAAUAACAAAAAACCUCUCAAAUUUUAUUUUUUUAUAAUAAAAGUAAAAAUAAAAAAAUAUUUUAAAUUAUAUGUAAGGAUAUUAUUGUAAAUUUAUUUCUUUUUCAUUUCCAUUCCUAUUAUUAUCAAACAUUGGAAUGGAAACAAAUAAUCAUUCCAAUCUUGCAUUCCUAAGUUCAUCCAAAUGCUAGAAAUAGAAUCAUCAAAUUCAUUCCAUUCCACUAAGAAAUAGGAAAGGAAACAAAAUAUUAUUUCCAUUCUCUAUUCCGACGUACCAAACACCUCCUAAGUGUGACUUCUUAUUUGGAAAAGUAGGUCUGUGAAAAAUCGAGUCAGGGUUCAAGGGUCAGGUUACUUAUCGGGAAGGUACGGUAAAAACCGUAGCACCCCUCUAAGUUCCUAAAAACGGGUCUCUACUAAUAAGAUGAAGUAAACAUGUCAAUUGGUAAGGAAAUCAAUGGAUACCAAAGUGAUCACAAAUCAUAAGCAAGUCAUGAUAAUGAAUAAAUGAACAAAGUGAGAGCCAUAGCAUACCUUGGUAGCAGGUAAUAAAGCGUUAUCAUGAAACAGAGUUAGUGCGUAAUAACAAAUACAAAAUAUAUCACAUGUAUGUCCAAGAUCAUAACAAAAAUCAAACAAUAUUCAUUAGGCAUAACAAUUAACAAUCAGGAGAGAAAUCUCAUAUAUAGGGCCCCCACCAAAACCCAAUUUAUUUUGCAUGAAUUAAUAUCACAAAUUCCAUUAUUUUGGAAUUAUGAAAAAUUCAUUCUCACUUAUUAAAAUCAAGAGGAACAGAAGAUUAUUUGAGAACUGAAGUGGAAUUAAAACUGUUUGAGAGAAAAUUGGAUUUUUGAAAUUUAUUUGAAAAUUGGAAUAUUGGGAAUUAAAUUUAAGAAUUGGAAUUUUUAAAAUUAUUUGAGAAUUAGAGUUUUGAAAAUUAAAUUAAGGAAUUAGAACUUUGGAAAUUAAAUUUGAAAGAAAUUAGCAAAUUAUUUGAGAAUUGGAGUUUUGAAAAUUAAAUUAUGAAAAUCGAAAACUUGGAAAUUUUUUUAAAAUGGAAGUUUUGAAAAUUAGAAUUUUGAAGAAUUAUUUGAAGAUGAAAUUUUUAAAAAUAAAUAAAAUAAUAAUAAUAACAAAAUUAAUAAUGAUUAAAUAAAUAAAUGUGAAAAUUGGAAUUUUGAAAAUUGGAAAUUAAAUUUGGAAACCGGAAUUUGGAAGAAUGACUUAAAGAUAGGAUUUUAAAAAUGAAUAAAAAAAUAAUAAUAAUAACGAAAAUAAUAAUGAUUAAAUAAAUAAAUGUGAAAAUUAAAAUUUUGGAAAUUGGAAUUAGAAUUUGGAAAUCAGAAUUUUGGAAAAAUGAUUUAAAGAUAGAAUUUUAAAAAUGAAUAAAUAAAUAAAAUAAUAAUAAUAAUGAAAAUAAUAAUAAUUAAAUAAAUAAAUGUGAAAAUUGGAAUUUUGGAAAUUGGGAAUUAGAAUUUGGAAAUCAUAAUUUUGAAGAAUUAUUUAAAGAUGGAAUUUAAAUAAUAAUAAUAAUAAUAAUAAUAAUAAUAAUAAUAAUAAUAAUAAUAAUAAUAAUAAUAACAAAAAUAAUAAUGAUUAAAUAAAUAAAUAUGAAAAUUGGAAUUUUGGAAAUUGGAAAUUAAAUUUGGAGGUCGGAAUUUUGAAAAAUUGUUUAAAGAUGGAAUUUUAAAAAUAAAUGAAUAAAUAAGUAAAUAGAAUAAUAAUAAAAACGAAAAUAAUAAUUAAAUAAAUGAACGUGAAUAUUGAAAUUUUUGAAAUUGGAAAUUAAAUUCGGAAGUCGGAAUUUUGAAAAAUUGUUUAAAGAUGGAAUUUUAAAAAUAAAUAAAUAAAUAGAAUAAUAAAAAUAAGGAAAAUAAUAAUUAAAUAAAUGAACGUGAAUAUUGGAAUUUUUUAAAUUAGAAAUUAAAUUCAGAAGUCGGAAUUUUGAAAAAUUGUUUAAAGAUGGAAUUUUAAAAUAAAUAAAUAAAUAGAAUAAUAAUAAUAAUAACGAAAAUAAUAAUGAUUAAAUAAAUAAUGUGAAAAAUAGAAUUUUGAAAAUUGGAAAUUAAAUUUAGAGAUUGGAAAUUUGAAGAAUUAUUUAAAGAUGGAAUUUUGAAUAAAUGAAUAAGUGAAUAAAUAAAUGAAUGGAAUAAUAAUAAUAACGAAAAUAAUAAUGAUUGGAUAAAUAAUUAUGAAAAUUAGAAUUUUGGAAUUUGGAAAUUGAAUUUGGAAGAAGAUUUAUUUUAAGAUGACAUUUUAAAAAUUAAAUUUAGGAACUAGAAUUUUUGGAAAUUUUAUUUGAAGAUGACAUUUUAAAAAAAUAAAAUAAAAUAAAAUAAAAUUUGGAAGUUAGAAUUUUUGAAAAAUUGAUUUGAAGAUUGAAGUGAUUGAAAAUUCAAAAUUUUGAAAGUUAUUUUAAGAAAACAAUUUGUGAAAACGUGUGAGACCAAAAGGAAAACGGGCAUAUAUAUUCCAAGAUGGCCCACCAAAAAAAUCUUCCAUUGACUUAACUGCCAUGUAAUGAUUCCCAAGCAAGAAAAUAAUAAUAAAAGAAAACCACAAUGGCUCUGAGAGCCUUCAUUUUGGAGAUUGGUUUUGGAAAUUGAUACUUGAUGGCAUUGGGAUACGAGGUGUAAGAAAAAUGAAUGGGUUUAUAGGUAUUAGGUGGUGUAGGUUAGUGAAAGAAGUGGAUAUGCAUCUUAUGAGAAGGCUUGGGAGAAUGUUUGAGGAUGUCUGCACGUGAAUGAGAAUAGGGAUGAAUGAGUGGGAAAUGGGGUUGCAACCCCAUCCUCAUUCUAGAACGAGCAAGGGGCUUGGAGGGUGGACUGGGCACCAGGACCAGGUGUCUUGGUCUUAUUUCCUCUGACAGCACGAAGCUUGACAUGAAGAACAAUAACAUCAAGUUCCUUGCAUCCUUGUGAAACAUCUUGGCAGCCGGCAUGGCUGCGCAUGGUGAAGAUCUCUCCCCAUCGGCUUUCUCUUUCAUGCCAGUAGUGGUGCGAACCAAGGUCUCUAAUAGGUCCAAAGGUUGCAUUUUCUCCCUUUAGUUCCCUAACCUUCAACACCGUUUCGGCUGGAGCUUCUUCGCUCGACAUCGCCUCCACUCAGUAUGCUCCUGUUUUCAUCCUGAAUUUGCAGUUUGUGGAAGCCAUAGUCGCUUAUUCUGGUUCUUCAUCUAAUAGGCAACCUGAUAAUGGCCCCCUAAGACCCUAAUGCUGAACUCCCUCAAAAGCAACCCAAUCCAACCGGCCAGCCGAAACAUGAUACUCACUCCAGGAAUACCAGAAACAGAGGAUACAAUGAGGGAAAACAGAGCAUGCACAAAAAGAAGUAAGGUUGUUAUUUUUAGCCCUAUCUCAUGUUGAUCAGUGAGCUGAAUAUAGGUGGAAGAAUCUCAAGAAGUGAGAACAGGAUUUCUAUUUAUCAAACUCAUGGAGAGAUUAAUACAUCAAGUGUUUUCCAAAGGGAAACAAAGACAUCGGAACGUGAGGUCCUAACAGAGCAUGCACAUAAAAAGUAGACACAGCAAAGCAAACAAGUGGCCCAUGACGUCCACACCAAAUCAUCUAAUGAACCCAAAAACUACUAGGAAACAAGAUAGAACACUCUGGAAUGAGAAAAUACAAAGGAGUGCUGAAAUCAUACCUGGAUCGGACUGACAAGCUCCUCCCCUGCUCUUUCUAAGGCUCCUCACUGGUUCACUCUCAAGCUCCCUCCGAAAAAAUCUCUCUCUCCCUCAAGCUCACCCCGUAUCUCCCUGCAACAACCAAAGGAAGAUCUUUUUCUCUCUUUCCCCCGCCCCAAAAAAAUAUUUUUUUUUCUCUAAAUCCUUUAGCUAGCUUGCAGAACAUGCCCCUUUGUCCCCUACAGCUUGCCCCUCCUUUUGUCUAUCUAAGCUCCCUAAGAAAACUGCAAAAAAUCUCUGUAACCGUCCCAUUUUCACUCAAUUGUCUCCUCUUUUGAAACCAUUCACUCAUCAGCCGUUUUCUUUCACUUCCAAUCUUCUUUGGCUGCCCCCAGGAACGGCUCCUCCUCAGGGUGGCCAGAGAAAAUAAUAAAAAUAAUAAAAAAGAACUCAUACUACUUGAGGGGGUCUACAAUAAUGCUUUUAAGUGCAAUGUUUCUUCUUAUCUACUCUAUGCAAUGUCAAAAUUAGGAAGAGAGGAAGAUAGAUAAUGAAGAAUAGAUAUUAAUCUUCUUCUACUCUCUCUCUAUUUUUUAUUUUUCUUCACUUCUUCUUUUCUUUUGUUUUUUCUAUCUAUUUUCUUUCAUUCCUAUUUUUUUCUCAAAAUUUUCAAGAAUUUUAUUAGAAUUGCAUUUAUUGACUGCACCAUAUUUUUGGAUUCACUUUGCAAUUGUAGGAAUAGGUUGACUUUCUUUCAUUUUAGUUAUGGAAAGUGAAAGUAGUUUUGUUUGGUACAAGAUCACUUCACACCUUAUGGUUAAUGGAGAAAAUAAAAGAUAACAACACACCAUAUCAACAGUUGGAGUAUUUUAAUUGUAAUGCUAAAGGUAAUAUUUGUGAAUGUGCAAGCAAAAAUAAGAAUUAUGAUGUUUUUAAUUGAUUUUCAAAGUCUUAUAAUUACAAAGAUUUCACUAUUCAUGUUGCAUUGAUGGUUGGUAUUGUGAGUGAUUCAUAGAGUGAUAGCGCAUUGCAUUUUAGUAGUGAAUUUGAUGCUAUAUCACUAUGGAGUUUUGCAUAUAAAGAAUUUCUUUCUAAGUGUAUUAAACUGAAAAGUAAAUGAAUUAAUAAAAUGAAAUGUCACUAGUAAGAAAAUUGGUGAAAUUUUUGAUAAAGCCAUCUCACCAUCUACUGAGAAUGUUGUGGGGGAAAUUUGAAAUAACCAUGCAUUCAUAUUUUCUCCCAUUUGGUUUUGGAAAUUUAGCUCCAAUGGAGCUGAAACAAGCCUCAUUCCUAAUCUUUUGUAGAUAUAUGACUUCUAUUUUGACAAAUAUCAUAUAAAUUAAUUUUGUGGAACUUGACUUUGGAUCUAAGGAGAAAUAUGGGAUGAAAUAUUUGUGGCAUGUCAAAUUUACAUCAUGGAAUCCAUGGUUUAUGUUUCUUUUAUAGACUAAAAUUUCAUCACUUGCUAACUCUAGAAUCAUGGAUGAUUUGGGCCUUUGUGGCUAAGACAAUGCUAAAUAAUAAGGUGAAUUUAUUCUAAAAUGAAAUAAUAUAUAGCAGUUAUCCUAGUCUAUAUACAACUCUCAAUACAAUACAAGAUGACACUGGUUCUAGUGUAAGCCGUUCUUGGAUUGCAACAAAGAAGUCUUGGACAUAAGGGGCAUGAUAAUUGGAAUAUAUUUCCAUUUUAAGUCUACAUCUCUCUUUUUCUUUUUGGUGGUUGGAAAGCUUUGAUAAUUAGUUUGUGAAAUAUCAUGAGUAACUCCUACCCUUAUGUAGGAUUCAAUUUAUUCAACUGUGUAACUCAUUAGAUCAUUUUCUACAUCCCAUUCCAAUGGAUUUGGGUAGGGUGAUAUUGCCAUUGUAGCUUAUCUUGUUGUUUUUGUCUCUAUUUGAUGAUAAUGCAACAUCUUUGUCCAAUUUAUAAUUAAUAUUUGGAAAGAAUGAGAUAGAUAUUCAAAUGAAUAUGUUGAAGCCUACUUAAGAUUUUUUUAAAAUUCAUACAAUUGUAAGAUUUAUUUACAUUGAACUCUCUAUAAUUUUCUUAGUUUUAAUACAUUAUUGUCAUUUAGAGCCUUUAUCAUUUCAAGGGUUGUCUGUUACUUUCAUCCUUGGAUCUUCAAGACUAUAUCGAUUUGUUUUCUCUCCUUGCAAAUCAUGUAUUCUGGGUUCAUUAGUGUGUGGAAGUUCAAUUCUUGAUGUAUUCUUUGCUUGCUUUGUUUAAUGGAAUUCCAAUUGCCAAAAGAAUAAAAAAAACAAAACUAACUAUUUUGUGUGCAUUGUUGCAAUGUGAUCAAGUUAUCUUCUCUCUUGAAUUUUAAUACUAACUUAAAAUAAAACUUCUUUAAAGGGAUUGCUGGAUAUUUGGCAGAAGCACAUUUAACCAAUCACCUUGGUUCUUUAAGGACCAAUGAGAAUGUGAUGGACUUUGUUUCUACUAAUAUUGCAGUUGAAAAGGCUACUCAAACUGCAGCACAAAACGUUGAUGGUGAUAGAAGAACAUCUUUCCUUGAAAGACUCUCUAGUUGCUUAGAAAAUCAACUCAUGUUGUUGCCCUAAUUCAAGCUGCUUGGCAACAGAGGAAGGGGAAACGAGGCUUUAGAUCUUUGGUCCAAAUAGGCUGGAGGAGAAAAAGGCUAAUUCUUUAUCUUCUUGAGUAGUGCCCUAGUUUUAUUUUGUUAAUAAUGACAGAAAAAUUGAUAUGUUAAGAACAAUUUUUUGAAACAGGAAAGCAAGUUGCUUAAAUUCUUGAGCUUUAUGUGGAAUCCUCUAUCAUGGGUGAUGGAAGUUGCUGCUAUCAUGGUCAUUGCUAUGGCAAAUGGAGGGGUAAUCAUCUUCAUUUUUCAUUUUUACCUUGCUUUUAGUCUGUUUUUUUUUUCUUUUUUUCUUCUAAUUUUUGGUGGGUGUGUGUGUGUGUGUGUGUUUUAAUUGUAUUUCUUCUAAAUUUUGAGAAUUUUAACUAUUUGAGAAUUUUAGUUGUAAAGCUAUUUUUUUUUUUUGUUUAUUUUAUGAUUUCAGUUCCAUAGUGCAUCCAUUGGCAGAUACUUUACCACUCUUUUUUAAACUUUAUUUUUGUUCCACCAUCUAUGUAGAAAUGCUAAAACACCCUCUAAAAACCCUAACAUGGCUAGCAAAUUAACAAUUAUAUAUCUGUUAUAGAUACUCUAUCAAAUUGAAUUUUAGCUUUAGGGGUGGUUGACAAAUUGACAAUUAUCUCCAAAUGUAUGAAAAUUUUCACCUAAAAAAUCAACUCAUACUCAUUCACUAUUAUUGCUUUUCAUAUUAGCUCUAUAGAUUCUUUUUCCUCUUUCUAGUGAUUUCACAAUUAUCGUUUCUAGACCUUUUUGCUAUGUUAUCCUAAAAGUUUUAGUUGUUAACAUGGAACUUCCUUGAAUUUUCAUGCUUAAGGUUGUGACUUUUAUGAUUAUCUUAUUAGUUUGGUGAUUUUUCCUAUAAAAACACUUCAUCAUCAACAUGUAGACCACUAACUUGCUCACCUAUGAAAAUCUAAUCCUCAUCUACCAUGUCUCAAAUACUAAUAAAACCAAGCUUGUUGGUAUACUUAUCACAAGUGGGUUUUGAUUUCUAAGAAUGAAUUUUUGGUGGAUUCUUAUUUUUAUUAAUUUUAUUAUAAGUCAAAUCCAAACUUAGUAAUGAAUCAAUUCUCAAAUCUUAUAUAUGGUUUUUUAGGCAUUUAACAAUAUGAUUAUGUGAAGUUUUUUUAUUAAAUUUUGAAUUUUAUCAUUAAGUUAGAUUUAGCUAAAACUCUUCAUAAUAUAUAUAUUUUUUCUUAUAAUGAACUGAAAGGAACACAACUCUAUUUAAUUCUUUAUUACUUAAAGGAAUGUGACCCCUUAAUGUCUUCCAUUCAUUCUAGUAUGUAAAAGGCUAAUGGGAUUCAAGGUGGGGAGCAAACUUGAAUAAUCAAAAUUAAUUUUUGAUAUACUUAUUGGUUGCUGCAGAUACAAUUAAGAGGUUUUUUGUUCUUCCUAUCUUUGUUUAUAGGUUGCAAAGGAGUUUGGUUUGCUAAAAGAAGAGGAAUUGUCAUCCUAAAGGAGACGAUGUCAAAAACCAGGGGGAUUAUAUCAAUGAACUCAUGAAGAGGAUGAACUAUGUUUUUGUAGAUUAUAGUUUAUCUUAAUAAUCUUUGCACUAAUAUUUGAUCAUUAGAUUGUUGAAAUAUUCUGAUGUAAAUAAUAAAUUUUUUAUGUAAUUAGUAUAUUUAUAUAAAUAAUUACAUUAAUUGUUUGAACUAAGUUAUUGUAUAUCAAUGUUUGGGGAUAUUUUAUUUUGUAAAAUUCAAUUUAAUUUUAUGGCUUGUAAUUGUUUUUUCUUUUGCUUAUUUGCAUAAGAAAUCCAUUAUUUUAAUAAUAGGAUAUGAAUAUUAUUUUUAAUAGAAAAUGUUUACAGAUGACGCUUUUAUAAGUGUCUUGUUAACGUGAACCAAAGAUGACAUUGGUCAAAGUGUCAUUAUUAACAUGAAUCAAAGAUGACACUCAUAUAAGGGUCAAGGUUGACAAUUUUGCAAAAAUUAUUUCAAUAGAAGAUGUUCAACAUUGGCCUUUUUAACAAGUGUUAUUAUUAACGUUAUUCAAAGAUGACACUUUUAAAAGCGUCAUUGAAAUAUUAAUCAAAGAUGAUGCUUCCUAGAAGUGUCAUUAUAAACUAAAACAUAUAAUGACAAGGUAGAGGAUGACGCUUAAGGAAAGCGUCAUCUUUUAUCUUUCUUGACACUUAAAAAGGGUCAUUAUUUCCCUUUUUUCUUGUAGUGACCACUCAAUGAAUUGCAUAUGGAUGAUCUUUAUAAAUUGAAAUCUCAAUUUUUCAUGAGUGGAGAUUAUUGCAUUAGAUAAAUUUUAGAUUAGAAAAUUUUGAUUUUAAUUUAUUACACUAGGGAGCUUUUGGGUGGCAUGAAGGUGUUAAUUUUGUGCAUGGAAUUAUGUGUGGUAGGAUUAAAUGCAGACAUUCAAGGGUCUAUGAGGUCAAUUUCAGAUUGAAUAAAAGGUUGAGAUUUAAUUCUCAAUUUUAAUUUCCAGGUUUACUAAUAUAUUCUUGGCAUGAUAACAUGAAGCGUCGUUUGUUUUUUAACUUUUAAUGUACAUCCGGGUAAUUAGGUUGCAUAAAAGGUUGAAUGAUAUGUUUUAGAAUAUUAAUUUAAUAAAAGAGAAAAGAGGGUUUUGACUCACUAAUUUAAAAAUAUAUAUAUAGAAAAAGGAACCUCACUAUUUAUAAAUCAGUUUUAUCUUUAUCCAUUUAAAAAUAUUUUAAAAUACAUACAUUUUUAUAAUUAUUCUUGAAAUACCCUUCUACUUGAUAAUAUUAAAUAAAAUUAUCAAAAAAAUUUAUUUAUCAUUUUAAUUUGAUAAAAGUAUCUUACAAAUAAAUAAUAUAUUAUGAAUUUUUUAUUAUAUAAUAUGAUAUACAAAUUAUUUUGAAAAAAAUCUCCAAGAUCCUCAAAUGAUGAAUAAAAUAUUUCUAAUUCUCUAAUUAAUAAUGACUUUAUAUCUUGCAUUAUAUAAAUCAACUCAUCUUCUCAUUUUUUUUUUUAAUAAAAUUGAAUAAAUAUUUUGUUAGUUGACAUCAAUAAUAAAAUAAGAAAUUUAAAAUUUGAAAAUAUAAUUAAAAAUUAAAUACAAUUAAAACAAAAAAAAAACUUAAAAAUUAAAAAUUAAAAUAAAAUAUUAACCCUUAUUGUAUUUCCAACUCUUUCUUUAAUCUAUAUUUUCUACUAGUGUGAUUUAGCUAAGUGAAAGUUAAUAUUUUAUUUUUAUAUUUUAUUAAUUUCAAAUCAGUUCUCAUGGUAAAAAAAAAUUAUUAAUUGGUGUUAUUAAUCUAACAAAUAAAAGGUCAUUUUAGGAAAUAAUUAUCUGACUUGUGAAAAAGUAUUUACAUUUUAAAAUAUUUUUAAAUUGAUGAAGAUAAAACUGAUUUAUAAAAGUUAGGGUUCUUUUUUCUAAAUUUUUUUAAAUUAAUGAGUCAAAACUCGUUUUUCCCUACAUAAAAAUUGAAAACAAUUUUUUGAUUUCUAAUUACUAAAUACGUUUUUCAAUUUUUUUUCUUUUGAAAAGCAAAUAUUUGUUUUUAAAAAACAAUUACCAAAUACAACCUAAGGGUUAUGGUGCACACUUACUUAGAAUCCUUUGUACAUUUUUGCCUCACGAAGUGCCUCCAUUUGAACAUUUGGAUAUGGUCAAAGGAUGUAUUGGCAAUCACUUAAUUUUGCCAAUCACUUAAUAUUAAAUAAAAUUAUAAAAGAAAAUUAAUUUAUCAUUUUAAUUUGAUAAAAGUAUCUUACAAAUAAAUAUAUUAUAAAUUUUUUAUUAUAUAAUAUGAUAUACAAAUUAUUUUAAAAAAAUUCUCUAGGAUCCUCAAGUGAUAAAUAAAAUAUUUCUAAUUCCCUAAUUAAUAAUGAAUUUAUAUCUUAUAUUAUAUAAAUCUACUCAUUUUUUUUUAAUAAAAUUGAAUAAAAAAAUUAUUUGACAUCAAUAAUAAAAUAAGAAAUUUUAAAAAUAAAAAAUAUAAUUAAAAAUUAAAUACAAUUAAAACAAAAUAAAAUUAAAUACAAUUAAAACCAAAAAAACUUACAAAUUUAAAAAUAAAAUAAAAUAUUAACCCUCAUUGUAUUUCCAACUCUUUCUCCAAUCUAUAUUUCUAUUAAUGUGAUUUAGCUAAGUGAAAGUUAAUAUUUUAUUUUUAUAUUUUUAUUAUAGUUCUCAUAGUAAAAAAAAUUGUCAAUUGGUGUUAUUGACCUGACAAGUAAAAGGUCAUUUUAGGAAAUAAUUAUCUGACUUGUGAAAAAGUGCAUAUAUUUUAAAAUAUUUUUAAAUUGAUGAAGAUAAAAUUGAUUUAUAAAAGUUAGGGUUCCUUUUUCUAAUUUUUUUUUCAAAUUAAUGAGUCAAAACCUAUUUUUCCUUAUAUAAAAAUUAAAAAUAAUUUUUUGAUUUCUGAUUGCUAAAUAUGUUUUUCUAUUUUUUCUUUUGAAAAGCAAAUAUCUGUUUUUAAAAACAAUUACCAAAUACAUCCUAAGGGUUAUGGUGUACACUUGCCUAGAAUCCUUUGUACAUUUUUUCCUUAUAGAGUGUUUCCAUUUGAACAUUUGGGUGGUCAAAGGAUGUAUUGGCAGUCACUUAAUUAAUUUUGCCAAUCAGUUAUUGAUGUCAUACAGUGAAGUUGUAUCAUCAUGGGCUUGACAUCAAUUCAAUUGAAUACAUGAUUGUGACUAUGUCCAAGGUCAAUAAAUACCAAUCUACAUGUGUUUUGCAUCACGUUCAUUUGGAUAACUGUUUAUGUUUUUUAUUUAUGUUUUACAUCAGUAAUAUGUAAAACAUUAUGAUUAUAUUUUAUUUUCAAAAGCAUUAACAAAAACAACAAAAACAUUAAGGAAAAUUAUUUUCUUAUGUUUGGUUAUACCAUAGAAAAUAUCAAAGAAAAUAAAAUAUAAUUAAAAUUAAUUAAAAACUCAUAUAUUUUUAAAUUAUUUAAUCUUUAUAUCAAAGAGUUAAAACAAGUAAAAUGAAUUUGAUGUAGUAUAUAAAAGUAAUUUAUUAAUUUUAAAUCUUUUUUUUUCCUUUCUAUUUUCUUUUCCUUGUAUUUGGGAACCAAACAUGGCAUAUUUGUAUAAGUAUAUUUUUGCAAAGAAGGAAAGUCAAACCCACAUGCAUCUAGACUAUUUAUGCCAACAUUAGGAGUUGUUUACCAUUUGAAACCCUUCAUGCAUAAUUAAGUUGUUGAUUUACUUAAAGACAUUGGUCAAAUUUAAGUUUCUUCUCUUUCAAAAGAAUUAGCUUGUGUUAAGUGUAGAUAGAGCUGGUAAGGAAUGCAAUCACACCUUCAUAAGUAAGUUCUUUCAUGAUAAAAGAGAAAUAGGUUUGGAAAAAUGUGAUUCACAUUAAUUCCUAUCUUGAUAAUUAAGUUGUUGAACUCUUAUGAAGUUAAUUAAUAAUGUUUAAGACAAAUAGUUAUGUAUAUCAUGAAUAAAAAUUUAUCUAUGAAUAUAUGACGUGAAUUUGAGCUAAAGUUUUUUAUAUUAAUAGUAACACAUUAUAAAAUUUCAUGAAGAGUUCUCUCUUAUAUAUCCAACCUUAUUCAUAAUAAUAUAUAUAUAAGUCUAUCAUUUGUAUGUUGUUUUUUUCUUGAAUUAAUUGGUUAAAAGGGAUGAAAUAAUCUCCAUAUUUGUGAAUUUAACCUCUCUCGUGUUUUUGCUUGAAGAGUAACUCAUUUUUAACUUAAAUGCCCUUAGUUAUUUCAAGUAUUUAAAUGUAAUUUUAUGUUUAUAAGACUCAAUUUCUCAAAUAUUAAAAUCAAAUCAACUACUCAAACUAAAAACAUUUCAGUUGACUUUAAAACCCAACCAAAUUUUAAUUUUUAAAAACUUUCCAAAUUUAAAUUUAAUUUUACUUUCUAGGAAACCCAGUAAUGACUAUAUGGAAUUGGUUCUCUACAAGGACCACUUUUCUACUUUUCAAAUGCCACAUUUUUACUUUGAAAUGAGAAGACAAGUUGUCAACAUGGUUACUUGCUCGUAAUUUAUGUAGACAAAGGAGUUAAAGGCCACUUUUAAUUAUCCAUAGGAAUUCACAAAUUUUUGUGAUGAAGAUUCCUUUUCUCAAGAGACAUAUUGGCAUAUCUAUAUCAAAUAUCAAUCAUGAUUGACCAUUCUACCUCUCCCACUAUUUAUAAACAACAGAGAUUAUAUACCAUCUCAUGCAACCACUCGAUAGGUGUUCUUGGGAUCCAUAUUUGGCAUAUUGGACCACAACUCUAAGAAGAAAAGGAAUAUGGACCGAUGACAUAUUUGUGUAGAAUGGAUAUGGUUCCCUAUAGGUGGCAUUAGGAGCACUUUCCAUAUCACAUGAUGGAGCACUUUCCAUAUCACAUGAUGGGAUUUUGAGAUUUGGGACUAGACUUUGUGUCCCAAAUGAUGGAGAUUUAAGGAGAAAGUUGUUGGAAGAAGCUCAUUGUUCUAAGUUUGCGAUCUACCCAGGAGGGACGAAGAUGUAUAGAGAUUUGAAGCAAAAUUAUUGGUGGCUAGGUAUGAAGCGGGAUAUUGCAAGAUUUGUGGCUUAGUGUUUGGUGUGCCAACAGGUGAAAGUUGAGCAUCAACGACCAGAAGGAUCAUUACAACCAUUUCCUAUUCCUGAAUGGAAAUGAGAACAUAUUACCAUGGACUUUGUGACAGAGUUGCCAAGAACCUUAGGGAAUAAUAAUGCUAUUUGGUUAAUUGUGGAUUGACUAACAAAGUCUGCUCAUUUUCUGCCUAUGAAAAUCAAUUUUUCUAUGGAUCGUUUUACUUCUCUUUAUAUUAAGGAGAUUGUGAGAAUGCAUGGUGUACCUGAUUCUAAAGUAUCUGACAGAGAUCCUCGUUUCACUUCUACAUUUUGACAUAGUUUACAGAAAGCAUUCUGUACUAAGUUGAGUUUUAGUACUGUUUUUCAUCCGCAGACUGAUGGCCAAUCAGAGAGGGUAAUUCAGGUCUUGGAAGAUUUGUUGAGAGCUUGUGCUUUGGACCUAAAAGGUAAUUGAGAUGAUUAUUUGCCCCUAAUGGAGUUUGCCUAUAAUAAUAGCUUUCAAGCUAGCAUUGGGAUGACACCUUCUAAGGCCUUAUAUGGUAGGAGAUGUCAAUUUCCUGUUUGUUGGGAUGAUGUUGGAGAGAAGAAACUUUUGGGGCCUGAACUUGUGUAGUUGACUGUUGAAAAGGUUUUUUUUUAAUUAAAGAAAGAUUGAAAGCAACACAAAGUAGACAGAAGAGUUAUGUUGAUAAUCGCAUAUGAGAUUUGGAGUUUGAGGUGGGUCAUCAUGUUUUCUUGAAAGUUUCACUUAUGAAGUCUAUAAUGAGAUUUGGAAGAAAAGGGAAACUCAAUCCUCAUUUUGUGGGACCAUUUGAGGUAUUAGAAAGAGUAGACACUUUGGCUUAUAAAGUGGCCUUGCCCCCAAGUCUAUCUAAGAUUCAUAAUGUAUUCCAUGUUUCGACUUUGAGAAAAUAUAUUUAUGAUCCCUCUCAUGUUGUGGAGUUGGAGCCUAUUCAAAUAUAUGAGGACUUGACCUAUAAAGAGGUGUCCAUUCAGAUUGUGGAUGUGAUGGACAAGGUACUACGUCAUGCUGUUGUUAAGUUAGUAAAAAUCUAAUGGAGCAAUCACAGUAUUCAAGAAGCUACUUGGGAAUUAGAAGAGGAGAUGAGAGAAAAGUACCCACAUCUUUUUCAAGACCCAGGUAUGUCAAGUUUAAAGGACUAAACUUUUUUUAAGGAGGGGAGGAUGUAACACCCCAAAAUUUAAUCUAAGGGCAAAGUAGUAAUUUAUAAAGUAAUUAAGUAAUUAAUUAAAUUCAUUAAGGGUGAAAGAGUCCUUUUACAAUUAAAAAUUCUAGGUAUAAAUUGAACUUUUCCUUUUGUCUUCUUCACUCAAAAAACCCUAUAAACCAGAAGUAGAGAAUUGGAGAUUGUAGGGCUCAAGGAUUAUAGAUUCAGAGUUGAAGUUCAGGUUUUUUCCAAAUAAGAUUCUAACCCUAAAUUAAUAUAUUAUAUUUGUUAGUUAGUUAUGAACACACUAGUUAUUCUUUGAAUUUUUUUUAAAUUUAGAUUAGGGUUAGUUAUUAUUUUUUUAAUUUGUUUUAAUAUCAAAAUAUUGGAAAUUUAGGAUUAUUGGUGGUUUUAUUAUUAGAAAUUGGGAAAUCUUAAGUUUUUGAAAAAAAAAAAAAUGAUUCUCUGGAAGAUUUCAAUUUAGGCUAGGGUUAACCUAUUUUAAAACUUUUAGCUCAAAAUAUUGAAAUUAGGAAUAUAGGUUGUUCUAUUGAUGAAAAUAGGGAAAUUCAAAAUUUCUUAGAUAAAUAGAUCUAAGUAAUGAAUUUUUUUUAAAAAAAUAAAAAUAAAUGAGUAAAUAAAUAUAUUGUUAUAUGUGGCUUAAGGGAUUAGAAAAUAUUAGAAAAAGAAAAAAAAGAAAGAAGAAUGUGUGCUUGUAGAAGAUGAAGAAUGGUGAAAAGAAAAAAUAAAUAAAUAAAUAAAAUAUAGUAAUAUUAAUAAUAAAGGAAGAUGUGUACGGAUGGUGUUUGGUGGUUAAUAUAUAUAUAUAUAUUAUAAUGAUGGAGAGUUAUUGUGUAUAGGUUAUGUUAGGUGAAAAAAAAAAACUUGAAAGUGAGAGAAUAAAAUUUAUAAAAAUAAAAGAAAGUAAAGUUUUUGGUAUUAUAAUUAUACUAAUGAUGUAUUGUAGUUUAAUUAAAUUAUGUUGUGUCCCAAGAAAUAAAUUGAAAAUAAAAUUUAAGUUUUAUAUGAAUUAGAAAUUUAUUAAUUUUUCUAAAAUAGGAAUAGAUUAAAUUAUCUUUCAUAAUUAAAAACAUUAAUUUGAAUACCUAAAAUUUUAAGAUUGUCAAACCUAUAAUUUUAGAUAAAUAGUAAUGGUUAUUUCUUUUAUACUUUAUUAGGUGAAGAGUAAAUUUUCUAGAAUUAUUUUUCUCCCAAGUUUUUGAGGACUUCUUUUGAGGUAAGGAAAAUUAAUACAGUUGUUUUUUUUUUUUUUUUUUAGAACCAAAUUUUAUAUACAUCAUUUGGAAACGUUUUGAGUUAUUAUUCAUUUUAUGCAUGGAUCAAAUAUGUUUUGCAUGAAAAGUAUGUUAGAACCUUACAUUUUGUUUACAGUAGAGAAAUGUAAGAUAUUAUGUUUUGCAAAUUUGAAUAAUUGAAAUAAGUGUUUGACUCUAGUUUGUUUGACCCUUGUCAAUGGGAUAUAAUAGUUGACCUUUACAUUUCUUGGUGGGGAAUGUAAUUGAUUUGGAUCCCAACCUCUAGGGGUUUGGUUAGAGGUUACUAGUACUAGUAGUGAUUGGUUGCGUCCACCUUAAAGGAAUAAUUUGAGGCUAGCCACCUAUUUGAAAAGUCUCACCUAAUUGGGCACCAUUUGAUGUUUGAUAACCAAAGUAAAUAAAUGAUUUGAAUGUUUUGACUGAAUUUGAUAUGAAAAUCUUUGAAUCAGAAAUGAAAGUGUACAAUUAAAAGUUUUGAAUGUAUUAGCAAAACUGACUCAAAGGUUUAUGAAAAUAGUUAGUUAUAAUAUCUCCUAUUUUGCAAGUGAACUUGAAAUAUUUGAUCCAUGAAAUUGUAUUAAUAUUCCUUAUUGGGCUUUGAGCUCAUUUCCCUUUGUUGAUAAUCUUUUAGGUAUCCUUAGUUCGGGUGAGGAGUGAUGGCUAGGUCGGGGAAUGGUCAUCAUUAGGAUUUUGCUUAGGAUGUUAUUUUAGGACAUUGUUAGCUUAUAAGUUUAUGUUCAUAUGGAUUAUUUGGUUUUUGAAAGCUUUUUAGAUAUUGAACUUUUAAAUUUUUAUGAUAGUUUGAAGUUGAGAUUUGGAGAUUAUGAAAAUUUUUGUUAGUACUUGAAUUGUUUGAGUUUGCAAUCUAUUUAGAUAAUUGAUUUUGGUUGAUGGAUGCUUAGUUUUUAAGUUAAGUUUUGAAGAUUUUAGAAUUUUGUUCCGCUGCUUUGAAUGUGUAUUUGGUAAUUGGUAACUUUCAAUUACAAGAUAAUUGUUUGGGUCAGGUUACACUUAAAGUCUUCGGGUUUGAGGUGUGAAAUGACCGUCACGCCUAAUUACUACUCAAAAAGUGCUCUUUUAUAGCUUCUUAUAAACUCUUUUAAACGCUUUUGAGUAGUAAUUAAUACAUUUUAACUCAAUUGACACAUUAAGGACCCUUGCGAGUGUUACUAAUCAGUUUUUGGCAAGUUUUGAUGUUUUGAUAGCUUUUUGAUCAUUAAAACAAGCCAAGAAUGAGGGAGAACUUGGUAUAAUCCAUGGCAAAGCAAGUUUGAAGCUAAAUUACAUGAAGAAUCCCAGUUUUGGAGAGCUUCAAAGCCUUUGCCAAAUCAAUCAAGUGUGCAAGGAAGAGAAUCAGAGAAGAAUCUAACACUGAAGAAUUUCGCAACCUCUUACGAAAUUUUCACAAGCCAGAAGAAAUUUUCGCAACUCCUUUUCAGCUUUGCGAAAUUUUAGCAAUUCCAUAUCUGACUUGUGAAAUCCUUCAUGUAAUCUUCAGAUAUUUUUGCACCGACUCCGUUAGAUUUUUUACCUCAAGAUAUUUUGUGUAAUUAUUUAUUUUCUCCUUGUAAUCAGCUAAAGAUCUUUUUAGAUAUUUAGGAUAUCUGAUAGAGGAGUUAAAAAUAUCUCUCUAUAUAUGUCUUAACAUAUCUCUUUUUUGUAAUAUCUAUCUCAGAAUCUCAGAAGACAUUCUUGGGGAUCACUUGUACAUUUUUAGUAAGAAAUAUACAUAGUUUUGCUCUGCUUUACCUACUCACUUUGAUUGUAUUUUCUUUCUAACCAAACAAUCUCUGAGGAUGUUUUCUCAGAGGAUGAGUGGCUAGGCUUUUUGUUUCUUGGACUGAAGGAAGCUAGGUAAGAGACCUGGAUACAAAAGUGGGAGUUUUCCUUGUUUCAGUUUUUAAUGAAGAGGAAGUUGUGACCUGGUAAUGGUUUUUAUAUUUUUAGUUAACUUAAAUCCCUUAUAAUCACCUGGGCCAACACUUGGUAAGCUUUUCGGACUCAAUCCAUAGAGAUCCAUUAGUUAUCUUUUGCAAGCCUCUGGGAGGUGGUUUAAAGGUAGGAUUACCUAGGAUAGCUAACACUUGGUAAACUUUUGGACUCCCUGGAGACAUCCAUUAGUUAUCUCCUGUGAGUUUUUGAAGGGUAAACCAAGGUUAAGGAUCACCUUGAAUGGCAAAUGCUAGGUGAGAGGUACGAGCCAUUGCAAGAUGCAUCAGUGAGAGGGAUUUAGCGUUGAAACCAUUAAUGGGAAGCAACUGUAACACACCGGUUGGGAGGAUAACUAUAGGUUAAAUCCCCAAUGCGAUGAAAAGAUCCGGAAUCUCCCCUUUUGUAUAAGGAACCUUAACCUAGUGACUUGAAACUCCAAGAAACCUUUUCCGUGUAAUUAAACUCAGUUACUAUUUUUUAUUAGCUUAAAACCAAUCCUUUUCAAUCAAACUUAUGUUUUCUUUUAAAGCUAACUCAGAAAAGAAAAAACACCAAUCCAGUUCUUUAAACUAAUAUUGCGUGUGAAAUUAAAACUCAUCCCUGUGGAUGAUCCUGGAACCACUAUACUAUGCUAGCUAUACUACCCUAGUAUAUGGUGAAUUAAGUUCAUAAAUUUUGUUGAUAAUUCCUGUCUGAGGAUUGAAUCAAAGGUACACCAAUUGGGGACGAAUCAACGCCUUUGGAGUGGGUCUUGGGGUGUGACAACCAUAGAGUGAUUAUAAAUAUGUUAAAUUCAUAAAUAGAUAAAAUAUGUCUUGGAUUGAAUGUGUUUAUUAUUAAGGUAAAUAAUCCCUUUGAUUACAAAGAUACUGAAAAUCAAGUGUUUAAUGGGCAAUGAUGAUUAUAUAUAUAUGGAUGUAUUUCCUUGUAUAAUUAUAUAACUAACUCGAUAUUCUUGUAUGAGGUUUGAUGACUCAUGUCAAUCAAAAGAUUUUUCUCAACAACUUGUUACUCUUAUGUUGAUUAUGGAGCUACCUCACAAAUGAAAAUGAUAUAAGUAAAUUAUCAUAUAUGAAGGGGUGUUUGGUAAAACUUAAUAUCUAUUACUUGAUAAUUUAAGUUGAUUUUAAGUCAAAUUAUAUUUAAGUUGUUGAUUUAAAACUUAUUACUUAAUUCUUACUUUUAAGUAUUAAGGUUGUUUGUUAAAAUUAACUUAAAAUUUAUUUUAAAUCAUCAAAUUAAUAUAUUUAUUCUCAUAAAUUAUAAUUAGGAUAAAAGAAGUUCAAUAACAAUGGAGGUUAUGGAGUAGUAAAAAAAAUCAUUGAGGUAAUUAGAAUAAAUGAAAUAAAAAGGUAAAAUAAAGAUAUAAGCUUAAGGAUAAUUUAAUUGUUUUUAGUUAUUACUUAAAGUUGUUUUUGACUUUAAGUCAGAAGUAUUAAUUUACUUUAACAAACAUAUUUAAUUUACUUAAUAACUUAAGUUAAGUUAUUAAGUCACUUUAAAUUAUUAAAAGCUCAUUUGGUAAUGAUUUUAGGAAGCGCUUUUAAUAUUUUUAAUACUUGAAAAUUUUCAUCAUUCAAAUGUUAAAAAUGUUAAAAACGCUUUCUAGAAUCACCUCGAAACAUACUGAGUUUAUCAAACACCCACUAACUCUUAUAAUGAAAGUGAUGUGAUUUAUUUUGGAAAUAAAAAUAACUUGCUAAUAUCUUGUAUUGGUGAUGUUCAUAUCUUUUGGUUUUAUUGUUAAAAACCAAAACCAAAUGAUUGUAGGAAAGGGAUAUAAGAAAGGAUAGCUCUACACUUGGGAUAGAAAAUCUUUGGAGGCUUUGAUUGCAAUAAAGAAAGGUGGCUCCUCUUUAAUUUGGCAUCAAUGGCUUGGAAAUCAUAAUUCAAACUUGAUAUAUUUGUUGAAGGAAAAGAAAGUCAUUAAUGUUACUCAUUGGUAACCAAGUCCACAAAGUGUUAAUUGUCAAAUGGACAAAAGAAUAAAAUCUCACAAUCUUCUCUUGAGAAGAUACAUUGUGAUCUUUGGGGAUAUGCCCCUUUUGAUUGAAAUCAUUGUUUCUAUUUCUAUGUAAUUUUUAUGGAUGGUAGAAAGAAAAUAUGAUUUUUAUUUCCAAAAAUAUCAAAAUUUAAUGGAAAAUUAAUUUGAUUGAAGAAUUAAGAUCUUUCAAUGAUCUUCCCCCUUUAGAUUUAGAUUAGGAUUUCCAUUUCUAUGUAAUUUUUGUUGAUGAUUAAUUUAGAUUCAUAUGGUUUUAUCUGUCAAUAAAAAGGAAUUUUGAUUUCUUUAUUUAUUCAAAUUUUUUUAAAAAUUAAUGAAAACUCAAUCAAUUGGAUCUAGAGAACUUGAGCAAAAUUGGGUUGACGUUUCUAUAAUAAAAACCCGCAUGCAACUGUGUAAAUAUGGUUUACUUUGGGUUCAAAGGGCCCACACGAUUUUAAAAUGCGUUUAAAAGGUUAAAGAAGUUCGUAUAUAUAUAAUCUUUAUAAUUUUUUCUCCUAAUAUGAAAUAUUAUGUUUAUUUAUUAAAUUUAUUUUGAGGAAAAAAAAAACAAAAAUCCUAUACAAACAACAGUCAAUUAUUUAUUAAAUUUAUGAAACUCAAACCUAGUUAAACUCCAAUAAAUUAGUCAUGGAUUGAAAAUCUUGUAAGGAAAGUGAUAUUAGCUUUAUUAGAUUCAACUUGAGUUGACUGUCGUCCGAAUCAAAUUAUCCGAGCUGCAACAUUUGAUAAUUAAUUCUAUAUCCUUAUGACGUAUCAGAAACCAGCCCACUCACAGCCCAAAAGUUACAACAUUGGGCCGGCCGAAGCUCAGCCCACUAUCACUUUAUGAUGCUUAUUAUUAUUUUAUUUUUCCAACAUAAGAUGCCCUGAUGUCAGUUUGCACAGCAGCAUUCAAUCAUUUCUUCUCCAAAAGCUGCGUUCGAUCGAUCUCAGAGUUGAAGGUACUGCUCCAAUCUCUAUUCCCUUUUCAAUCCAUCGAAUUCUAGGUUAGUUACAAAGCUGAGAAAAUAGUUGUAGGUUGGAUACAUUCCUUUGGAUGCUGAGAAAAUAAUGAGAAAAUGAAAGAAAAUUUUGAAUCGCAAAAUUUUCACCAUCUAGGGCUCGAGAGUACAGGAAAUGGCACUUUACCCAAAGCUCUUAUGACUCUUUGUUUUAGUUAAUCUGGUUUUUUUGUUCCGUUUUUUUUUUUCUUGGUUUGGAUUUUUGGCAGCAAAGAAAGUGAGAGAGAUAAUAUAGGAAUUAAAAUGUGGUUUGCUUUUAUUUUUCUUCAUUUUCUUGGUAACCACACGGAGGUUCGGAUUUCAGUGCUUUAUAGGAAAUUUUGAGUUUAGGGUUUGUCUUUGAACAGCAAUGGAACUAUUGCAAGUUUGGAUUACAGCUAAGACUGAAAUUUUUGUUAGAUUGACGGUCUUUUCUACUAUAAAAAUAGAUUUAGUUUACAUGCAGAGAAAAUAUGAGGAAAGUAAAAUAGUUUUGUAUUGUAAAAUUUUCAUCACCGAGGAGGUUUGGGUUGGAGAGGAAAAAAUGUGACUACUUAAAACUCAAACUGACUUUUUCGCUUAGUUGACCUGGGUUAUCUGAUUUUAUUGGAAGUGAAUGAUAAGUGAUAACAUAGGACUGGAAAUGCUGUUUUCUUUUAUUCCUCAAUUUUCUUGGAAACCAAACAGAGGGCCAGGGUUUCUGUUUGAAUGCUUUUAACUUGUCAAUGCUAUUGCUGAAAAUUUGAAUUCUGGGAUUUCAUUUUGGACUACAGCAAGCUAGAAUUUUGGGGAUGUCAUAUUGUACAAUUAUAUGUAUAAACAAAUUGAGCUGAACUAACAUUCACUAAUUUUACUAUGGAAAUAUAAAUAGUGCUGCCAAUGAAUUCCAAUGUAAAUGAAAGCCUUUCAAAAAUAUAAAGAAGAGCAGAAAACUAAAAUAAAAUAAAAGGAGUAAUAACUCUUUAUCUUCAGAGAAGAAAAUUAAGAACUUCAAAGUACAAAAUAAGUAAAAUGAAUUUAAUUAUAAUGGUAUGAAUUUAAUUAUAUUGGUUAUUUGUUUUGGUAGGAAAACAACACAAAUAUAUUAAAAGUGCUUGGAAAAGGCGCACAAAGUACAGACGGGGUAUACAAGUUGCAACUGAAUACGAACAAAAGGAAAGAGAAACAACAAGCCAACACCCAAAAAACAUACUUGAAGCAAAAGACCUCACCCUAAAGCCUUGAAGAACAAGAAAACCCAGACUUAACAAAUACUUGGGUGAAACCAACCUAAAACACCCCCACUACUGCCAUAACCCCUCUUCAUUGCCCUUCUUGAAACCACCACAGAAGCCCCCUUGGAAUUACAAAAUAGCCCAUGACCCCUAAACCCUUACCUUAAGACCAGGUGAGAGAGCACCAGCCCCUCUCCUCUUCUAUAUCUGAGGAGAAACAAACACCUAGCCUCUAAGCCAACCAACAACAACAAACCUAAAAACUUAAUUAUAUUGGUUACGACUGAUAAAUGAUAAAAACGUGAAUUUAUUAUGAUUGUUACUGUUAAAUAAUAAUGAUGUGGAGUAUGAGGGAAAAUAAGUAAUAUAAUAGUAGCACUUUGGGAAGAAAAAGGUCUACAGACUCUUCAUACAUUUAGAUAUAGAUAUAAAUAUAGACAUAGAUAUGGAUUUUAUAAAAUUCUGUAGAGGGGCUAUAAUUGGAGAAACCAUUGUUUAAAUGUUGGACUUAUUAUUAUUUUUUUGGUUUCUAUAUCUUUUUUCUCCAUGUUUUUUUAAUUUUAAUCUUGCACUAUGUGUACAAAAGUUCUGCUGUAUAAUUAAUUAUUUAAUUAGAGCAUUAGUAUGAUUAAUAAUAAUCUCGUCUCAGUUGUUAUUCAAACGUUUGAAUCUAUGCCUCUAGUCUACCUUUGCACACAAGAAAAUGGAUCUACUGUGCUUGCUGAUGAAGGGUGGAAUCUAGAUUUGAUUUCUGCCCUUUUGAGUUAAAUAUGUAACACUUAAUUUUCUGUCUACAAGAUGGUCAUACUAUAGUCUAUAGAAGUGGUUAUUUUGUCUUUGAUUUCAUAAUUCUGAUGUCUUUGUGUUUUCUUUUAUUUUUCUUCUUCUUUUUCCCUCUUUUAAAUUUGUUGCCCUGUGUUUUCCUCCUUUCAUUUAAAACUUCUGUUCAUUGACUUUCAAUAAGAUGUCUAUCGUGGAAGUUUCCUGCUUUGAUGAUCUCUAGUAUUAUUUAUAUCAGUUUUUUUCAAUCCCAGUUUUCUAACAUUUAUUUUUCAGUUUUCAUUUGCAAGCUAGAUGGACUACAGUUCUGACGAAGAGUCAGAUAUAAGUGAAUCUGAGAUUGUUGAAUACAAAGAGAAACCAUAUGAACAACUGAAGACUGGUAAAUAUAAAGUAAAAGGCACAAAUGGCACACUUAGAUGUCCCUUCUGUGCUGGGAAAAAGAAACAAGACUAUCGCUAUAAGGAUCUGCUUCAGCAUGCUUCAGGAGUAGCUAAAGGCUCUGCCAACAGAAGUGCAAAACAGAAGGCAAACCACCUGGCCUUGGCAAAGUAUUUGGAGACUGAUCUAGCGAGUGAAUCGGAUCAAGCUCCUCGUGCGGUUGAACCGAAACCUGUUACUCGAACUCAGGAGCAAGAUGAUCUAUUUGUCUGGCCUUGGACAGGAAUCAUCACUAACAUAGUGACUGAGCAAAAGAAUGCAUAUUGGUUGAAAAAGUUCUCUAAACAUAAGCCUCUAGAAGUUCAUACUUUCUGGAAUGACAUGGACCAAACUGCAUUAGCCAUAGUGAGAUUCAAUAAUGACUGGACUGGUUUCAUGAAUGCAACAGCAUUUGAGAAAGCUUUUGAAGCUGAUCGUCACAGUAAAAAGGAGUGGAAUGUGCAGAAACAGCAUCCUGGUUCAAAUAUUUAUGGGUGGGUUGCUCGUGCUGAUGACUACAUUUCAGAAGGACCUGUAGGGGAGUAUCUUCGCAAAACUGGGGAAUUGAAAACAAUCUCUGACAUUGUUGAAGCAGCAAAGCAGGAUAGGAACACUAUUGUCGCAAACCUAGCCAAUGAAAUUGAUUUAAAAAAUGAGAAUCUUGAUGAGUUGCAAUACAAAUACAAUGAGAAGAGCAUGUCACUAAGUAGGAUGCUUGAAGAGAAAGACAAGCUACACCAUGCUUUUUAUGAAGGUUUUGCCCCUGACUCUAUUAAUCUGUGUCUGUGGAUGUGGAGGUUGUUUAUUUGUGCCUUUGUUAGUCGUGUGUUCUGCUUAGUUAAGCCUAAACUCUGCUUAGUUAAUCCUAAACUUUUUUAUAGCAAUGCUACAUGGAAUUAUUGAACUUACUAGUCUUAGAAAUCAUGAAUGUUUGGUUCUCACUCGUUGAUGAAUUUAAAAAAAAAUAUAUAUCUUCAUUUAUUUCUAAUUGGAUUCAGUUGUUUUUCACUGGUCUAUUGAACUGUUGUAUACCUGUUUGCAUGAAGUUUGAGAGAGGUUGGUCAGUUAAAAACAUUCCAUGGGCAGUGAACCUCAAAAGGCUGCUAUUAUUACAUAUAUAUGCAUUCAGGUAUUGGUUUUGUAUUAAUAUAUGCUGAGUACAUAAUAUAGAACAUAUAAUUCCUCUUUAUCAGAAACAAGGAAGAUGCAACGGCUUGCACGGGAUCAUGUCCAGAGGAUUCUAGGGGAACAGGAGAAGCUGAAUUAUGAGUUGGACUCCAAGAGGAAAGAACUUGAUAACUGGAGCAAAGAAUUAAACAAACGUGAAGCUCUAACUGAACGUGAGAAACAAAAACUUGACGAUGAGAAGAAAAAGGUGAAAAGCUCCUAACGCAGUUUAUACUUUUCAUAGAUUCAUUAUUGAAUUUUUAGAAGGUUAAAUUUUAAAAUUCCUAUUUGUUUUGGUAGAAAUGGAAAUAGUCUGCCUUUCUGUGAUGCAUAGCAGGAACUGCAUAGUUAUUAUACCCUUCUUUUAGUGUUUAUUCUUACAUUUCAGAACAUGAUCUGAUUGUCCAUAAUGAAACCUAAAGUAUUUUGUGAUUUUAGCUUAUAGACCAUUUUUUUUUCACCUAUUCUUUAUUAUCACCCAACCACAUCUGUCUGUUAACACUAGUUUGUAUGUGAAUUGACUGAGAAUUGCAAAGCAUUGUAGUGAUGGACCGUCUUUUGGAUUGAUGAGUUCUGGAUCAAAGACAUACCAUUGGAGCAUUUGAAAGAAUUCCUAGCCAUCCUAUUGACUGGAUUCUACAGUUGUAUGACCAUGUCUUUUAACUAUCCUAGUGUCUGCUUGUCUUGCUAUUGGUCUGAGUAUUGCUGGUUUGCCUUAUCCAUGCAAUAGUUAAGCAGUUUGUCUCCUUGAUUAGUGUGUACUGUCAUAAUGAAUGUACAGUUGCUUUUCACUCUAGGAAAAAUAAACAAAUUAAUCUACUCUGUCCUUCUUUCCCAGUACUGUGUCUCCAGUUUGAAUGAUUCAAUUAUAGGGGAUUUGUCGUCUUUGUAUUUGUUCUUUUCUUGUUUCCCCUUGAUGCUCUGUGUAUGCCUCCCAUGUCCUGGAUUUGCUCCCAUUUUUACUGGUUACUUUUUUAAAUAUAUUCUUUUUCUAGCCUAUCAAAGAAGAAAAACAAAGCUUAUACUCUGUGCUGAUAUUGUUUGUUAUCCUAUUAGAAUAAUGAUAGAAACAAUUCACUUCAAAUGGCUUCCAUAGAGCAGAGAAAGGCUGAUGAAAAUGUCUUAAAGCUGGUUGAAGAGCAAAAGGUGUGCCAAUCAGUAUCAUCCUCAAGACACUAGCUUGUUAAUUUAAUAUUCUCUGCUAUUUUACUGCUUGUAUAGCUCUCAUUGACUGAGAUUCUAAAUGUGUAGAGGGAGAAAGAGGAGGCACUUAGUAAGAUACUUCAGUUAGAAAAGCAGCUAGAUGCUAAACAGAAGUUGGAGAUGGAAAUUGAAGAGAUAAAAGGGAAAUUACAGGUGAUGAAACAUCUGGGAGAUGAAGAUGAUACUGCAGUUCAGAAUAAGAUGAAAGAGAUGAAUGAAGAGUUGGAAGAAAAAGUUGGCGAAAUGGAAAAUUUGGAAUCUCUAAAUCAAACUCUUAUAGUUAAAGAGCGUCAGAGCAAUGAUGAGUUACAAGCUGCUCGUACAGAAUUAAUUACAGUAUGCUUUUCUUUGCCUUUUGUUCUUUUCUAUGAACCUGUUGUUUAAAUGUUAGGCUAAGAGUUUUUCAAAGUAAUCAGAUUUUCCAAGUAAGAUUUUAUGACCAAAAUGGGGAAAGCAUGGGCCACCAAUUGCAUGUUCCACUUGAGACAGUCCUUAGGUUUGAAGUUAAUUAUCAGAUGAAAUGACCACCCAAUUGACAUGACAUUUCCUAAAAUGGUGAUAGAAAAAUGAAAUAAAAUACAAAGAAAAAGGGAAACAGAAACCCUUUUGAAUGUGCAUUACAAAAUUUUUUCUAAUUGGUUAAGCAUGUUGUUGGAAUCAUGCUGUCAAAUGGUUGAUUUUUUUUCCUACAUCCCCUAGUUGGGUCCAUGGAACCAACUGCUAGCCAUGUAACUGGAUGCAAUUAGUUAUGAUUUUGUACCUUAUUCUGUCUACUUAUGCUCAAUUCUGUUUCCUCAAAACUUGGAUAGGUAACCAUUGCAUUCUUUCCAGCAUAAUUAUUACCUAUUGCAUUCUUUCCAUCAUAAUUAUGUUCAGUAAAAUUCAUUGAAAACACUGUUCUCUUAUUUAGGGUUUGAAAGAUAUGCUGAGUGGCCGCACUAAUAUUGGGUUAAAGAGAAUGGGGGAACUUGAUGAAAAGCCAUUUCUCAAUACAUGUAAGCAAAGAUUCUCACUUGAAGAAGCAAAUGUACAGGCCUAUACUCUAGUGUCCUUGUGGCAAGAUAAUCUGAAGAAACCAGAAUGGCAUCCAUUUAAAAUUGUUGAAGUUGAAGGCGAGACCCUGGUAUGCCUCCUGAAUAUUCUGCUCUCCUUCCAUUGCUCCACCCUUUUAUGCUCAAUUAUGUUUGUACUUCUAUUAUGUUGCAUUUGUAUUCUGUCAUUGCUCACGGCCUCAUGGGCCUGAGUCAGAAAAGUAGAAUUUAUGCUCACAAAUUCUUUCAUCUCCUGAUUUAGCAUAUCAAUGGAUCUUUGCUGGCUUAUAAAAGUUACAGGUGGAAAAUUGAAAUUUGUACUUUCUCUUUUCAAGUAUCCUUAUAGUACUUGGAAUAUCUUUAAUGAUCUUUUAUAUUGCUUAGGUUAAGGUCCUUGAGAAUUAAACUAAAAUUUAUGUUCCUUCACAACUGAUAACCAAAGAUAAUCAAGAGAUUAAUCAUGUGCAGGAAAUAAUAAAUGAAGAGGAUGAGAAGCUACAAAAGCUCAAGCAAGAGUGGGGUGAUGAGAUAUACAUGGCAGUUACUAAGAGCUUGAAAGAGAUUAAUGAAUAUAAUCCAAGUGGUAGAUACACGGUUUUUGAGCUCUGGAACUUCAAAGAAGGAAGGAAAGCCACAUUGAAAGAGGUCAUUCAGUAUAUAUUGAAGAAUAUGAAGACACUUAAGCGCAAGAGAUGACGAUGCUAAAGGUUAGUAUUUUCAUAUGUUUUGAUAUAUGAAUUUCUAGUGAAGGGUAUGCAUAUAUUAUGUAAAAACAUUUUAUGGACAUGGUCCAGUGGACAGUUUUGCAAAAAGUUUUAAUCAAGUAGUAGCAGUAUAAUUUCUUAAAAAUUUUCAGUCAACCUUAGGUACUUUUUUUUUUUUCUUUGACAUCCUUUUGAUUCAACAAUACAACAAUUAUUUUCUGUGGAAGGAUGAAAUAAAAUUUGAUGUGAUGACAGGCUAUGUUUGCAUGACAUUGGCAUUCUUGACUGUUGUAUAUUGUGAGCUAACCUCAAUCUGAUGAAUCUCAGUUAAACUGUGCACUGUCUACUGGUUAAAUAUGAUUUUAAUUAGCUUGAAACUCAGUCAAAGCUCCAUACUAUCUAAUGGUUGGAUAUGAUUUUGAUUAGCUCGGUAUUGUAUUGUCCUCGUAGAAUAAUUUAUAUUCCAGCUUUUUAAUUAAAUCUUUAGGGAUUGCAAAAAAAUUAUCAGAACUUCUCAAGGCUGUUAUCUGCGAUACUUGGAAUCUUCAACUUCAUGUCAAAAUAACAUGAUAAGAGUACGGGUGUGGGACUCUUGUCAAAUAUUCCCAUUUGCCUUUGGAAAUUGAAUUCAUUUUAAAAUUUUUUUUUAAUUGGGAUAAAAGAGAAAAGAGAGUUUUAAAAAAAAAGUUAUGAAGAAUAUGCAAUUUUUGUUCUAAUUGACUUUAAUUUGAUAUUUUUCUUCAUUAUGUCAUAUCCAUCCAAGUACCGUUAAAAGAUUAUUUUUCAGUUGAGUUUUGAUAGGCCUCCUAUACGUUAUGUAUAUUCCAGAAAAGGGAAGAGGAGUGUACUGCCACCUGGCAGCUAGUUGUAACAGUCUUAGUACAGGCUGUGUAACAGUCCUGGUACAGGAUGGAAUAGCUUAAAUAGGAAAAAAGAUGGAAUUAGUUGGAGAGCUGGCUGUUCUGUGAGUCUGGUGGGAGAGUGAUAGCCUCUGGAAUAGCUAUCUUUUUAUCAGUUUGGCCCUCUUCUUGAAAUUUUUGAAAUUCAAUAAUAUCACUAAUAAUUUUUUCUUCAUUAGAUACCUAUCAAGUUCCCAUAUCUUAAGCACACACCUGAAACUACCAUGUAACACACCAAAUGAUAGUCCCAGCAAUAGGAUUCUGGAAGGAAAUGUUUUUCUUUUGGAUUAAGUGGCAACCCUCAAGACUAGACUAGAAUCUAAACAUUUGCACUCAACAGCCUUACGAUUUUGCCACUGCACUGGACAAUGGCUCUAAACUAUGGACAUUUAUGUUUGGCCAGCUUAUGUUUAGCUUAUUAAUUAGGAUGGGUAAAAUUUUGUAUUUACAAAAAUGGAAGUACAAGAACUUGUUAUAUUACAUUGUGAGGAGAUUGGGGGUGAUACCCAUGAUUAUCAGUUUUAUGUUCUAUUUCUGCUUAAUACUUUUAAUUGAGUCUAAACUAUGUGAUUUCUAGUUAGUUUGAUUAUAGGUUAUUUUAUAAAUUCUGUCUACCAUGGUGGUGAUUUUAAUGAAGCUAGUUACAGGGGUUCCAGUGCUGAUGUAAGAAGAGUUCCUUUGAUGAUUUAGCAUCAUUAUUCAAGUUAAGAUUAGUUUGAAAGAGAUUUAGAAAAUUGUCUUGGUAUUUUUGAUAUAUUAUUUGAAGCAAGGAAGGGUCAUUCCAUUUUCAAAAGGAAUGAAGAGAGAAGACAGAUUAAAAUUUGUUGAUAUAAAGGACAAAGUGCAUCAUUACUUUAUUCAAGUUAUCAUAUAUGAAAGUCCUUAUUCUUUCACACACCAGUGUUUAAUCCUCAGACCUCUAUGCUCCAUGAUGCAGGAAAAAGCAGGGAAUGAGGUUUGUGGAGGAAGCAGGUUGCUGAGAGCUGCAGCAAUAUGAAGCUUGAAGGUAGGGAGGGAAUUUCUUUUUAAGCUCUAUUUGGUGCUGGCUUAGGACAUAUGUUUACUUGUUCUUGUUGUUAGUAGUUGAAAAUGGAUCUGAUUCAUGUAAGGGGGACUCUAGUGGAGAAAGUUCCCUGUGGACCCUGAAAUUUAAGUAGUGUAAGAACGGGUAUGUCGGGUUUAGCUAAGGAAUGCUUUGGCACCAUUGUAAUAUGGUGGUGUUGGACAUCCAUAGAUAAGUCCUGAUCCAAAACUGACUUGGGUAGAUUGUGGAUGCUGGGAAGAUGAAUUUGAAAUGGGUGUGCAUGCAGAAUGGUUUCAGUGACUUUGAUAUAGUAUGCGGGGAUAUAGGGACAAACAGUUGACACUUCCAACCCAAUUCAACAAAGCCUUGCGCCCAAUUACUAGAGUUGG